UACGGAGGGUGCGAGCGUUAAUCGGAAUUACUGGGCGUAAAGGGUGCGUAGGUGGUUGUUUAAGUUAUCUGUGAAAUACCUGGGCUUAACCUGGGCAGGUCAGAUAAUACUGAAUGACUCGAGUAUGGGAGAGGGUAGUGGAAUUUCCGGUGUAGCGGUGAAAUGCGUAGAGAUCGGAAGGAACACCGGUGGCGAAGGCGGCUACCUGGCCUAAUACUGACACUGAGGCACGAAAGCGUGGGGAGCAAACAGGG
rnacentral:rRNA from 1 species